UGGUGGAGAGGAGAGCCUCACACCCAGCACUGAUCUCCCGCCAGCUGUCAGGCCGAGCAGGACGAGGGGGGGCGGGGCUGAUGGGGGCGGAGACAGGGGGAACUCGCCUCUCCUCUUGUCCAGCAGACGUGCCCACCCUCCUCCCAUCUCCUCCCCUUCCUCGUCCCGUCUCCUCACGGCUCCCGUGAACAUCCCCACAACCAGAAACAACUCCGCGUCCUCCCCCUCUCACUCCCAGCCUUUCCACUCUGUCACCAUUGACCGCUCAGAUUCCGACGCUUCGUUCCGAUCUAUAAUUAGACUGAGUAACAACAAAAGUGUUACUGGGACGGCUGAGGAGUCAACCAAGGGUGCUGCUGCUGUAAAUAGAACUGACUCGGAUACUGCCCACCCCAACAGGCUGUCGCCCCCUGACCGGCAGACGUCUUUAAGUUGUGUCUCUUCAUCAUCAUCGUUGUCGUCGUCAUCGUCACUGAGUACCACCAAAUGUUUUGCUUCCUCAUCUUCCAGUUCAUCGACAGAGAACAAGGAAGAUAACGAAUGCUGUGUCCCCAGCAACCAAUCGCCCAGUUCCCCUGUGUGUAAUAAAGAUCUGGCUACUCUACCUCGCGUCAUCGACUGUGCCGCCCGACAGAUGAAACCUCAAACUGUCCACUUCAGGAAGGCUCCACGGGCAAAGAAACGACGUUUUCGGGCAACGCGUGUAGACUCACAGUCAUCUAGCGAUGAAGAAGAGAGGUGAACAAGUGUGACUAUCUUGUGACACAGAGGUGAACAAGUGUGACUAUCUUGUGACACAGAGGUGAACAAGUGUAACUAUCUUGUGACUGAGGUGAACAAGUGUGACUAUCUUGUGACACAGAGGUGAACAAGUGUAACUAUCUUGUGACUGAGGUGAACAAGUGUGACUAUCUUGUGACUGAGGUGAACAAGUGUGACUAUCUUGUGACACAGAGGUGAACAAGUGUAACUAUCUUGUGACUGAGGUGAUCAAGUGCGACUAUCUUGUGACACAGAGGUGAACAAGUCGUUUCUUGUCGUACCUCCAUUUUUGUAUAACAGUGAAAACAGUUCAUAAUAAAAAAGUGAGCUGAAGAAGAUGUCACAUUUUCACUGUUUUACAAAAUGGAGAUACACCAAGAAAUCACUGAGGUGUUACUAUUUUGUGUAACUACAGAUGAGCAUGGAUAUCUCUCAGACACGUUGGGGCUCGGCAAAUGCUUGACAACACAUCGGUAAUUCCAGGAAACUGAUCAUGAAAAAUAA